CCUACGGGAGGCAGCAGUGGGGAAUUUUGGACAAUGGGCGAAAGCCUGAUCCAGCAAUGCCGCGUGAGUGAAGAAGGCCUUCGGGUUGUAAAGCUCUUUUGUCAGGGAGGAAACGGUGAGAGCUAAUAUCUUUUGCUAAUGACGGUACCUGAAGAAUAAGCACCGGCUAACUACGUGCCAGCAGCCGCGGUAAUACGUAGGGUGCAAGCGUUAAUCGGAAUUACUGGGCGUAAAGCGUGCGCAGGCGGUUUUGUAAGUCUGAUGUGAAAUCCCCGGGCUCAACCUGGGAAUUGCAUUGGAGACUGCAAGGCUAGAAUCUGGCAGAGGGGGGUAGAAUUCCACGUGUAGCAGUGAAAUGCGUAGAUAUGUGGAGGAACACCGAUGGCGAAGGCAGCCCCCUGGGUCAAGAUUGACGCUCAUGCACGAAAGCGUGGGGAGCAAGCAGGAUUAGAUACCCUGGUAGUCCACGCCCUAAACGAUGUCUACUAGUUGUCGGGUCUUAAUUGACUUGGUAACGCAGCUAACGCGUGAAGUAGACCGCCUGGGGAUACGGUCGCGAAGAUUAAAACGUCAAAGGAAUUGACGGNUGAGACGNGCGAGNGACGACGAGGGAGAGG
rnacentral:rRNA from 1 species